CGGCAACAGCUCAAAUUUGAAAUCUGGCCCUCUCAGGGUCCGAGUUGUAAUUUGGAGAGGAUGCUUCGGGUGUGGCCCCGGUCUAAGUUCCUUGGAACAGGACGCCUUAGAGGGUGAGAGCCCCGUACGGUUGAAUGCCUAGCCUCUGUAAAUCUCCUUCGAC
rnacentral:rRNA from 1 species